UACGUAGGGUGCGAGCGUUGCCCGGAUUUAUUGGGCGUAAAGGGCGCGUAGGCGGCCACGCACGUCCGUUGUGAAAUCGCCCGGCUCAACUGGGCGGGGUCGGCGGAUACGGCGUGGCUGGAGCAAGCUAGGGGGCAAUGGAAUUCCCGGUGUAGUGGUGGAAUGCGUAGAUAUCGGGAGGAACACCAGUGGCGAAGGCGGCUCUCUGGGCCUUACCUGACGCUGAGGAGCGAAAGCGUGGGUAGCGAACAGG
rnacentral:rRNA from 1 species